rnacentral:rRNA from 1 species
GACGCACGCUGGCGGCGUGCCUAAUACAUGCACGUUGAGCGCUGAAGGUUGGUACUUGUACCAACUGGAUGAGCAGCGCACGGGUGAGUAACGCGUGGGGAAUCUGCCUUUGAGCGGGGGACAACAUUUGGAAACGAAUGCUAAUACCGCAUAAAAACUUUAAACACAAGUUUUAAGUUUGAAAGAUGCAAUUGCAUCACUCAAAGAUGAUCCCGCGUUGUAUUAGCUAGUUGGUGAGGUAAAGGCUCACCAAGGCGAUGAUACAUAGCCGACCUGAGAGGGUGAUCGGCCACAUUGGGACUGAGACACGGCCCAAACUCCUACGGGAGGCAGCAGUAGGGAAUCUUCGGUAAUGGACGAAAGUCUGACCGAGCAACGCCGCGUGAGUGAAGAAGGUUUUCGGAUCGUAAAACUCUGUUGGUAGAGAAGAACGUUGGUGAGAGUGGAAAGCUCAUCAAGUGACGGUAACUACCCAGAAAGGGACGGCUAACUACGU